rnacentral:lncRNA from 1 species
AAGAAUAAAAGGUUAAGCUGUUUGUAUGAUUUAGUUCAAAUGUUAAGUAACAAUCACACUUGUUUUAUCGUUUUAAGCAGAAGCUAUGUUGAUGUAAUUUCUAGAUCUAUUAGCUAAUAAAAAGGUAUUCAAGCAUAUUCUGUAACUUUAAUGAUACAUGGUGUAGAGUAGUAAGUACAAUUUCGACAUUUGUCCCAGAUACAGGAGUAUUUUAAUAACAAGUCUUAGAGAAAUGUGUUGGUAAAGAUGCACAAAGUGAUAUAUGUUAUAUACUAAUUGAUAGCUUACUUAGUCAUUGGUUUUCUGUUCAGAUACAUUAUAUACUGCAAGUGAGACAGCUUCCAUGAUAAUGUAUACUUGAAUUAGCCAUUUUGAAUGUUGACAGUGGAUAUGUAAAAGGCACGCGUAUGCUAUCAGGGCUAGUAAGUGUGCAAAAAGUCUGCUUUCUGCAUUAGUCUUUGGUCGGGUUAGAUGAAAUUCAUCUGAAGACAUUUUCAAAAAAUGUCAGUGCUUUUUGGGAAGUAGUAGAUGGACAAGGGAUGGGCACAGAGGGAUUUAAAAUGUGUGUCAUGACAAAAAAGUGCACAGUUUAGUUACAUAAUUAAUAUUACUGUAUUUUUAUUGUAUUGCAUUUACUAUGAGAGGCAGAGCUUGAUAUUCGUUUGGUGAAGUGACUGAGCAAGAAAGGAAACCAUUUUGGUCUCAAAGAUUGCUGGGUAGGUUCUCUAAUUCCUCUACUUUCUGGUCCAAUUAAAUUUGUUUCUAUAUGUUGAGAAUGAUAUUUUUUCACACAGCUCUUGUAUAAGAAAUCUAAUACCCUCACUCUUUUGUUGGCAGGCCACGAAAGGAGUAGGAGGCUCCUUCCACAAUCAUGGUUGAACCUCUGUGUCUAGGUGCCACAGGUUCAAAAGGGAGGAAUCCAAAAGCGGAUGUAGAAGGUCUCUGAGGUUGGCAUCCCUCUAACAAAGUAAUAAUUCUCUGCUGACACAAAAAGGCAUCAUCAUUAUUC